rfam:Schistosoma haematobium scaffold458_1, whole genome shotgun sequence.
AUCCAGCUGAAAAGUCCAAAAUAGGACAACAUGUGCGUCCUGGAU